UUAAAAGGAUUCCAUACUAAGCUAAUGUCAACUGAUACAAAAGAAUAUAUAUAAUUAUCUACGAGCUCAUAUGACAUUUAAACAUAGAACUUUAAACUAACGUUUAACAAAUCUGUACAUAAACUUCAAAGACUAUGACUAUGUAUUGCCAUUUAAUCCAUCACAUGAAGCUUACACGAUCAGUUUCAACCAGAUUGAAUUUACUAUCACUAAAUACUACACCUUAUCAACAAUGUCCAAACAGUCUAAGAUAGUCUAACAACAGUCCAAAAUAUUCGAGGAACAGUCCAUAUUAUAUAGCCCAGGGUUCAUAUGCACACGAAUUAGAAUCAAAUCAUAUUAGACUCUAA
rnacentral:lncRNA from 1 species